rnacentral:rRNA from 1 species
AGUGAACGCUGGCGGUAGGCCUAACACAUGCAAGUCGAACGGCAGCACAGUAAGAGCUCGCUCUUACGGGUGGCGAGUGGCGGACGGGUGGGGAAUACAUCGGAAUCUACUUUUUCGUGGGGGAUAACGUAGGGAAACUUACGCUAAUACCGCAUACGACCUACGGGUGAAAGCAGGGGAUCUUCGGACCUUGCGUGAUUGAAUGAGCCGAUGUCGGAUUAGCUAGUUGGCGGGGUAAAGGCCCACCAAGGCGACGAUCCGUAGCUGGUCUGAGAGGAUGAUCAGCCACACUGGAACUGAGGCACGGUCCAGACUCCUACGGGAGGCAGCAGUGGGGAAUAUUGGACAAUGGGCGCAAGCCUGAUCCAGCCAUACCGCGUGGGUGAAGAAGGCCUUCGGGUUGUAAAGCCCUUUUAUUGGGAAAGAAAAGCAGCAGGUUAAUACCCCGCUGUUCUGACGGUACCCAAAGAAUAAGCACCGGCUAACUUCGUG